rnacentral:ncRNA from 1 species
AUAAAUGCUGUGACGGGAACAAGUAGCGCGGCUGAUACGGCUUUCAGAGAGUCUGCGGUGGGUGAGAGCAGAUAAGCGUCGGUCGGGGUGAAUUACCUCCCCGAGUAUCGUGUGUGAGAAAGGCGAGAGCGAUUAGCACACGGCGUUUUUUCCGCGUUAAGGAUAAUGAGGUCGGAAGUGAUUCCGAUGAACGAGGUGGUACCGCGUUUUCAACGCCCUCGGA